rfam:Myotis brandtii contig318059, whole genome shotgun sequence.
GGCCUCCCUCUGCAGGGCGAUUGAUCGUGGAGCUCUCCCCACCCCCAUUGAUUGCCCCACAGAGGGUGGCC